rnacentral:rRNA from 1 species
GACGAACGCUGGCGGCGUGCUUAACACAUGCAAGUCGAACGAACACUUCGGACUUUGUUGGGGUGCUCUAGUGGCGAACUGGUGAGUAACCCUUAGGUACCCUGUCACUGACUUUGGGAUGACUUCAGGCCACUUGGGCUCUUACCGGGUAGGAUCUCCUGCUGUUUGGUCGGGGUGCGAAAGUUUCGGCGGUUGGGGAUGUACUCGCGGCUUAUCAGCUUGUUGAUGGGGUAGUGGAUUACCAAGGCUAUGAAGGGUAGCCGGCCUGAGAGGGUGACCGGCGAAAUUGGGUUUGAGAUGCGGCACAGACUACUACGGGACGCAACAGAGGGGAAUGUUGCACAAUGGGCGGAGGCAUGAUGUAGCAACGCCGCGUGCGGGAAAACGGCAUUCGGGUAGUAAACCGAUAUCGCCUGUGACGAAGCGUGAGUGACGGUAAUGGGUAAAGAAGCCCCGGCUAACUACGUG